CUUGUCUAAACUCAGUGUGGACUGGGAGCUAGGCAGGAGCUAGAAUCUAGGUCUCCUGGUGCUCCAUCACCCUCUAUGGGCCAUUGCUGUCUGUAAGAACUUUCUGGGAUGAUGGCUAAUAUGGUAGCCACUAGCCACCUGUAGCAUUUGAGUACUUGAAGUAUGACUAGUGUAACUGAGUACUGAGCUUUUAAUUUUGUUGAAUUUGAAUUAAUGUAGGUGCAAAAGGCCAUAUAUGGCUAGUGGCUGCCAUAUUGGACAGCACAGCUUUAGACUCUGAUUCAUUAAGUCAUGUUCAUUUCUUGCCACCUUUGCUGAACUGGGCAGCACUAGGGACACAGAUCAGCUGGGUAGCUGCAGCCAUGUAUUAAGUACUGCCCUUGAGGUCGACCAGGGGGGAAUCUGACUCACCUAGGGGUCAUGGAGCCUUCCCAUAGGAAGCUGGUUUUGAAGUCUGUGAAGGAAUUGAUCAGAUGUGCAGAGAGCAAUGGCAUUUGGGUAGCAAGAGUAGCAUGAACAGAGGCAGAGCAUUGGGAAGAGCGGGGUAUGCUCCGAGGCUGCCAGACGUGUGGCUGAUGAGAUGUGUGUGGUGGAAGCAUUGGAGCUGGACAGGCCUUGGGGCCAGGUCACUGGAGGCCUUGACUGCCAUGAAGGUGAUGGGGAUCCACUGAGUGUUGCGAGCAGGUAGGAGGAUGGUCAGAUCUAUGUUUCUGAGACCUUGGGGAUAAAGCCAUUGGGGCCAGAGUGGAGUCAGGAAGACCAAUGAGGAGUCAGAGAGCCAUACUCACCACAGUGUGGCAAGAGGCUGGGAAGAGCUUCCUGCUGCUGCCAAGCCAUAGAGACUGGACACACUUAUUACCAGGACAUAAAGGCAAGGGGCUCAGGAGAGCCUGAAAUUGUCCUAGAACCAAGCCCCAAUCAGCUCUUGCUUUUCCCAGCCCACUUUCCCAACCUGUCUUCCCAUUCCUGCAUUCCUGUGAAAACCCACUAGUGCCCUAGGGGGGAUAGAAGCCCAGGCGCUGGUGGGUCAGAAGAGAUUUUAUAUGGAUCUUUGAUGAAGAGCAGGUUUUGGGAGAGUGGUGUUGAGGGCUCCUAGGUCCCAGACGUGGGAGGCUCAGACAGAGGACAUGAGUCCCUAAGGGGGAGCCUAUCCUGCACUCUGAAUUGCAGUUUAUGUCAAAGACUGACUCUUCCCAAGAACCCAGGACAGAGGACAGUACUUUCACUUUACAGAUGAAGAACACUGAGGUCUUAGAGAUUGAGUGAUUUGUUCAAGAUCAAAUGUCUAAGUGAGAAUCCUAGCUAGAAUUCUACCCCUGGCUGUUUGGGGAGCCAGUUCCUUAUUCUUACAGCAGGUGAACCCCUGAAUACUAUUGGGGUCACUACUGGCACAGCCCAGCCCCAGUCAUUAGGUUGGGACUCCUCUGAGGGCAAAACAGAGAAUGACCCUCAUAUACUAGGGGAGGAUAGGUUUGUCGAUAUGUUAUUUAAUGAGUUUCCUGAUCUCAGGGAGACUCAAUGUCUCUGACUCUGUCUCAGUCAAACAGAUGAUGAUCUGACCAUAACAUCACCUCUCUCUGCAUGGCCCCCACCCCCUUGCCAUCCCAUGACAAAGUCCCACAAGACCCAUGACUUUCUGAGACCCAGUGGAGCUAUGAGACUGAGUUGGAAAACCCUUUCCCACCCUAUGUCUGGGGAUAGCAUAGCCAGCUGAGCCCCAGGGCUCAGGGUCCUCAGUCAGUCCUUCCCAGCUCCCCUGCUGCAGCUUGAGACCAGUGGUGCUCCUGGGUCCCAGGCUCUCUGGGCUGGGCCUUCUGCCC
rnacentral:lncRNA from 1 species